GGUCAUCUUGUUAUCCCAUUUCUAGAAUUCAUUAAAUCUCUCACCCUAUAUAUGCCCCUACCCUUUGCAUAUAGCAGUGGUACAAUAACACAGAGAGAAAUGGCCGGAUCAGUUAAAGCCCUCUUCUUCUUAGUUCUCGUCCUGUGCUCUACUUUAUUAGUCUAUGCAGCAAGACCAGAACCAGCUUUUUCAGCAGUCAAUUAUGCAAAAACCCGACUCGAGGGUGUUGAAACAGAACAGGUUGAUGAGGUGAUGGGUGAGAGCUGUGAAGGAGUUACAGAGGAGGAGUGCUUGAUGAGAAGGACUCUGGCUGCUCAUGUCGAUUACAUCUAUACACAGAAGCAUAAUCCUUGAAGUUUCUUUGUUAACUACAUGUAUUGUGAUUAUGUACUGAAUAUGUACGAAAUACUUGUUUGUAAUAACAAGAAAUAUUCUUAGCAGUUUAGCUGAUAUUAUAAUUAAAGUAUCCCGUGCUUUCUUUGUCUUU